CCCUUCGGGGAAGCUGUUACAGGUGUUGCAUGGCUGUCGUCAGCUCGUGUCGUGAGAUGUUCGGUUAAGUCCGCUAACGAGCGCAACCCGCGUUGUGUGUUAUAUGUGUCACACAAUACCGCCGGUAUUAAGUCGGAGGAAGGUGCGGAUGACGUCAAGUCAGCAUGACCUUUAUAUCCAGGGCUACACACACGCUACAAUGGACAGUACAACAGGUUGCCAAGCCGCGAGGCGGAGCCAAUCCUCUAAAGCUGUCCUCAGUUCAGAUUGCAGGCUGAAACUCGCCUGCAUGAAGUUGGAGUUGCUAGUAACCGCAGGUCAGCUAUACUGCGGUGAAUACGUUCCCGGGGAUUGUACACACCGCCCGUCAAGUCAUGGAAGCUGGCAACACCUGAAGCCGGUAUCCUAACCCGUAAGGGAGGGAGCUGUCAAAGGUGGGGUUGGUGACUGGGACUAAGUCGUAACAAGGUAACCGUAA
rnacentral:rRNA from 1 species